rnacentral:rRNA from 1 species
CCUGUGAGGGUUGCUGGAGGUAUCAGAAGUGCGAAUGCUGACAUAAGUAACGAUAAAGCGGGUGAAAAACCCGCUCGCCGGAAGACCAAGGGUUCCUGUCCAACGUUAAUCGGGGCAGGGUGAGUCGACCCCUAAGGCGAGGCCGAAAGGCGUAGUCGAUGGGAAACAGGUUAAUAUUCCUGUACUCGGUGUUACUGCGAAGGGGGGACGGAGAAGGCUAGGCUAUCCGGGCGACGGUUGUCCCGGUUUAAGCGUGUAGGGGGUGUGACUUGGUAAAUCCGGU